UGGGGAAUAUUGCACAAUGGGCGGAAGCCUGAUGCAGCGACGCCGCGUGAGGGAUGACGGCCUUCGGGUUGUAAACCUCUUUCAGUAGGGAAGAAGCGCAAGUGACGGUACCUGCAGAAGAAGCGCCGGCUAACUACGUGCCAGCAGCCGCGGUAAUACGUAGGGCGCAAGCGUUGUCCGGAAUUAUUGGGCGUAAAGAGCUCGUAGGCGGUUUGUCGCGUCUGCUGUGAAAGCCCGGGGCUCAACCCCGGGUCUGCAGUGGGUACGGGCAGACUAGAGUGCAGUAGGGGAGACUGGAAUUCCUGGUGUAGCGGUGAAAUGCGCAGAUAUCAGGAGGAACACCGAU
rnacentral:rRNA from 1 species